GGAUUAGAUACCCUGGUAGUCCACGCCGUAAACGAUGUCGACUUGGAGGUUGUGCCCUUGAGGCGUGGCUUCCGGAGCUAACGCGUUAAGUCGACCGCCUGGGGAGUACGGCCGCAAGGUUAAAACUCAAAUGAAUUGACGGGGGCCCGCACAAGCGGUGGAGCAUGUGGUUUAAUUCGAUGCAACGCGAAGAACCUUACCUGGUCUUGACAUCCACGGAAGUUUUCAGAGAUGAGAAUGUGCCUUCGGGAACCGUGAGACAGGUGCUGCAUGGCUGUCGUCAGCUCGUGCUG
rnacentral:rRNA from 1 species